rnacentral:rRNA from 1 species
AGAAUCAACGCUGGCGGCGUGCCUAACACAUGCAAGUCGAACGAGAAAGUGGAGCAAUCCACGAGUAAAGUGGCGCACGGGUGAGUAACACGUGACUACCUACCCUUGAGUGGGGGAUAACCUAGGGAAACCUGGGCUAAUACCGCAUAACACCUACGGGUCAAAGGAGCAAUUCGCUUAAGGAGGGGGUCGCGGCCGAUUAGUUAGUUGGCGGGGUAAUGGCCCACCAAGACGAUGAUCGGUAUCCGGCCUGAGAGGGCGCACGGACACACUGGAACUGAAACACGGUCCAGACUCCUACGGGAGGCAGCAGUGGGGAAUUUUGCGCAAUGGGGGAAACCCUGACGCAGCAACGCCGCGUGGAGGAUGAAGUCCCUUGGGACGUAAACUCCUUUCGAUCGGGACGAUUAUGACGGUACCGGAAGAAGAAGCCCCGGCUAACUUCGCGCCAGCAGCCGC